AAUUCUUUAGUUUUUAGGUUCGACAUUGAUAUAUUUUUUCAAAAUUUUUGGUUUGAUUUCUCAAUUCGUAGCAAAUAAAUUACUAUAGAUCAAGAUAAGAUAGACAUAAGUAUCGAAAAAUCAGGUUUAAUUGAAUUAAUUCAAUUCUUUAGAUUUUAGGUUCGACAUUGAUAUUUUUUUCAAAAAAUUUGGUUUGAUUU
rnacentral:lncRNA from 1 species